rnacentral:lncRNA from 8 species
AUGGCAUUGUUCGUCCCUGAUAUGGCUGGUCAUCUGUUUUUGGUAAUCCUCCUUUUCGACAGCUUCCAAUACAUCGAAGCCCAAGGUCAUUACCAAGGCCACUAUCCAAAACCAGACAUUACAGUCCAAUUUGAUGAGGACUUCACCAUCAUCUGUUUGAUUCCUGGAUCCGUCAGUCCUGACACCACCUGUAACCUGUAUGUUGGAGAGGAGAGUCAGCCAUCCUUCACAGCAAAGAUCAAGAAGAGAAAAGCCACCUCAGCAUCCGGACAGGAGUUCUGUCAAUUCACUCCAAAUCAUAGUGAUCUGAUCAGUCGUCUACAGUCAGUGAGGAGUAAGGAGGUGAGCUGUGACUACGGAGUGAGCUCAGGACCAAACUCUCUCUCUCCACGCAGUGAUGGGUACAACUUUACAGAUCUGGUGGGAGUUUACAUUAGUGAUCCAACAACUAAACCCUUUCCAACAGGUUUGACCUCUCCUUUGACCCCCAGUACAGCACUGAAUCCUACAUCAGUAAGUUCGACUGUUACUUCUACUUUGACCCCUGGCAUCACAGUGAGACCAAUUACAAGUUUGACCUCUCCUUUGACCCCCAGCACAGCAGUGAAUCCUACAUUAGGAGGUCAAAGCUCCAAAGAAAUUGUUGUGGAAACAGCUGUGGGAAUAAGGCAGGGAGCAGUGGGUGUGGCUUCUGGAGUGGGCAUGUUGCUGAUGGGAUUGACAGCUGUCUAUCUCUGCAGGAGGACCAGUGAGUACUUCUGA